rnacentral:rRNA from 1 species
AGAGUUUGAUCCUGGCUCAGAACGAACGUUGGCGGCGUGGUUAAGGCAUGCAAGUCGAACGAUCUUAUUGAGUUUUAAGGCCGCAAGGCCAAGAGACUUGAUUUGAUAGUGGCAAAAGGGUGAGGAAUACGUGGGUAAUCUACCUUCGGGACGGGGAUAACACUCCGAAAGGAGUGCUAAUACCGGGUAAGACCACGGCUCCGCAUGGAGCUGCGGUAAAAGAUGGGGACCGUAAGGCCUAUCGUCUGAAGAGGAGCCCAUGUCCUAUCAGCUAGUUGGCGGGGUAACGGCCCACCAAGGCUUUUGACGGGUAGCUGGUCUGAGAGGAUGGUCAGCCACACUGGGACUGAGACACUGCCCAGACUCCUACGGGAGGCUGCAGUCGAGAAUCUUUCGCAAUGGACGAAAGUCUGACGAUGCGACGCCGCGUGAGGGAUGAAGGUCUUCGGAUCGUAAACCUCUGUCACACGGGAAGAACGUCCUAUGGGUGAAUAACCCUGUGGGCUGACUGUACUGUGAGAGGAAGCCCCGGCUAACUCCGUGCCAGCAGCCGCGGUAAUACGGAGGGGGCAAACGUUGUUCGGAUUUAUUGGGUGUAAAGGGUGUGUAGGCGGGCUUGUAAGUCGGAUGUGAAAUACUAUAGCUUAACUAUAGAACUGCAUUCGAAACUGCUUGUCUUGAGUUUGGGAGAGGAGAGUGGAAUUCUCGGUGUAAGGGUGAAAUCUGUAGAUAUCGAGAGGAACACCAGUGGCGAAAGCGACUCUCUGGACCAAAACUGACGCUGAAACACGAAAGCUAGGGGAGCAAACAGGAUUAGAUACCCUGGUAGUCCUAGCCGUAAACGAUGAUCACUUGGUGCUGGGUCCUUAGGGCUCAGUGCCGAAGUUAACACAUUAAGUGAUCCACCUGGGGACUACGGCCGCAAGGUUGAAACUCAAAGAAAUUGACGGGGACCCGCACAAGCGGUGGAGCAUGUGGUUUAAUACGACGCUACACGUGGAACCUUACCAGGGCUUGAAAAGUGCAUGAAAUCUUCAUGAAAGUGGAGACCUCCUUUCCGGGACAUGCAUACAGGUGUUGCAUGGCUGUCGUCAGUUCGUGUCGUGAGAUGUUGGGUUAAGUCCCGCAACGAGCGCAACCAUCGUCCUUAGUUGCCAUCGGUUCGGCCGGGCACUCUAAGGAGACUGCCGGCGAUAAGCUGGAGGAAGGCGGAGAUGACGUCAAGUCAGUACGGCCCUUACGUCCUGGGCUACACACGUGCUACAAUGGUCGGUACAGCGGGCUGCAAAACAGUAAUGUUGAGCUAAUCCCAAAAGCCGGCCUCAGUUCAGAUUGAGGGCUGCAACUCGCCCUCAUGAAGCUGGAAUCGCUAGUAACGGCAUAUCAGACACGGUGCCGUGAAUACGUUCCCGGGUCUUGUACACACCGCCCGUCAAGUCACCUGAGUUGACUGCACCCGAAGUCGCUGACCCAACCCGCAAGGGAAGGAGGCGCCGAAGGUGUGGUUGGCAAGGAGGACUAAGUCGUAACAAGGUAACC